CAAUAGCGUAUAUUAAAGCUGUUGCGGUUAAAAAGCUCGUAGUUGGAUUUCUGUCAAGGACAACUGGUCCGCCCCUCGGGUGAGCACAUAGUUUGGUCUUGGCAUCUUGUUGGAAACUGUUGCUGCACUUGGCUGUGUGGCGCAGUGUCCAGCGCUUUCACUUUGAGGAAAUUGGAGUGUUUCAAGCAGGCACAUGCCUUUGGACACAGUAGCAUGGAAUAAUUAGAUUGGGCUUUUGCUCCAACUUGUCGGUUUCUGGAGCUGAGGUGAGAAUUAAUGGGGAUUGUUGGGGGCAUCCGAAUUUAGCCGUCAGAGGUGAAAUUCUUGGAUCUGCUAAAGACGGACAACUGCGAAAGCGUUUGCCCAGGAUGUUUUCAUUGA
rnacentral:rRNA from 1 species